CUGGCCCCCCUCGGGCCCGUCCCCCCUCCGCACACAGCGCUGGCCCGAGGGCCCCUGACUCAGAACCGCACCCCCGUUGGGAGAGGACCCGUGGCCUUGGCUCCCCGCUCACUAAUGAUGCUUUUCUUGGCACGGAGGAGCGGCGGCGUGACCCUUCCGCCCGGGCUCGGUGCAGUCAUUUAUUUUGGAAGCGGAAAUUGCAGCGCUGUGUUUCUCUCACCGCCCUCGCGGCCGAGGCUGGAGUUUGGGCAGGAUCCCCCGACGGUCUGGGGGCCUGCAGAGCCGUGGGGGAGCCAAGGGCCGGGCAGCCAGUGCGGAGAACCGGCCCCUAAGUAAAAACCCCACCCCCUGGCUACCUGAGUGAAGAUGGAGAGACCAGUGACCACCAGAUGAACCACAGCAUGGAUGCAGGUUCUCCAAACCUAUCCCCGAAUCCGAUGUCCCCAGCACACAAUAAUUUGGGUAAGUA